rnacentral:rRNA from 1 species
CAGUCGCCGCGGUAAUACGUAGGGUGCAAGCGUUAAUCGGAAUUACUGGGCGUAAGGCGUGCGCAGGCGGUUAUAUAAGUCAGAUGUGAAAUCCCCGGGCUCAACCUGGGAACUGCAUUUGAGACUGUAUGGCUAGAGUGUGUCAGAGGGGGGUAGAAUUCCACGUGUAGCAGUGAAAUGCGUAGAUAUGUGGAGGAAUACCGAUGGCGAAGGCAGCCCCCUGGGAUAACACUGACGCUCAUGCACGAAAGCGUGGGGAGCAAACAGGAUUAGAUACCCCCGUAGUCCCUGUCUCUUAUAC